GAUGAUCGCUGGCGGCGUGCUUAACACAUGCAAGUCGAACGGAAAGGCUCCUGCUUGCAGGGGUACUCGAGUGGCGAACGGGUGAGUAACACGUGGGUGAUCUGCCCUGCACUUCGGGAUAAGCCUGGGAAACUGGGUCUAAUACCGGAUAGGACGAUGGUUUGGAUGCCAUUGUGGAAAGUUUUUUCGGUGUGGGAUGAGCUCGCGGCCUAUCAGCUUGUUGGUGGGGUAAUGGCCUACCAAGGCGUCGACGGGUAGCCGGCCUGAGAGGGUGUACGGCCACAUUGGGACUGAGAUACGGCCCAGACUCCUACGGGAGGCAGCAGUGGGGAAUAUUGCACAAUGGGCGCAAGCCUGAUGCAGCGACGCCGCGUGGGGGAUGACGGCCUUCGGGUUGUAAACUCCUUUCGCUAGGGACGAAGCGCAAGUGACGGUACCUGGAGAAGAAGCACCGGCUAACUACGUG
rnacentral:rRNA from 1 species